GUACACAAAAAUGCACAUAUUGUGAGCUCGAUGAGUAGGGCGGGACACGUGGUAUCCUGUCUGAAUAUGGGGGGACCAUCCUCCAAGGCUAAAUACUCCUGACUGACCGAUAGUGAACCAGUACCGUGAGGGAAAGGCGAAAAGAACCCCGGCGAGGGGAGUGAAAAAGAACCUGAAACCGUGUACGUACAAGCAGUGGGAGCCUCUUUAUGGGGUGACUGCGUACCUUUUGUAUAAUGGGUCAGCGACUUAUAUUCUGUAGCAAGGUUAACCGAAUAGGGGAGCCGAAGGGAAACCGAGUCUUAACUGGGCGUUAAGUUGCAGGGUAUAGACCCGAAACCCGGUGAUCUAGCCAUGGGCAGGUUGAAGGUUGGGUAACACUAACUGGAGGACCGAACCGACUAAUGUUGAAAAAUUAGCGGAUGACUUGUGGCUGGGGGUGAAAGGCCAAUCAAACCGGGAGAUAGCUGGUUCUCCCCGAAAGCUAUUUAGGUAGCGCCUCGUGAAUUCAUCUCCGGGGGUAGAGCACUGUUUCGGCAAGGGGGUCAUCCCGACUUACCAACCCGAUGCAAACUGCGAAUACCGGAGAAUGUUAUCACGGGAGACACACGGCGGGUGCUAACGUCCGUCGUGAAGAGGGAAACAACCCAGACCGCCAGCUAAGGUCCCAAAGUCAUGGUUAAGUGGGAAACGAUGUGGGAAGGCCCAGACAGCCAGGAUGUUGGCUUAGAAGCAGCCAUCAUUUAAAGAAAGCGUAAUAGCUCACUGGUCGAGUCGGCCUGCGCGGAAGAUGUAACGGGGCUAAACCAUGCACCGAAGCUGCGGCAGCGACACUAUGUGUUGUUGGGUAGGGGAGCGUUCUGUAAGCCUGUGAAGGUGGCCUGUGAGGGUUGCUGGAGGUAUCAGAAGUGCGAAUGCUGACAUAAGUAACGAUAAAGCGGGUGAAAAGCCCGCUCGCCGGAAGACCAAGGGUUCCUGUCCAACGUUAAUCGGGGCAGGGUGAGUCGACCCCUAAGGCGAGGCCGAAAGGCGUAGUCGAUGGGAAACAGGUUAAUAUUCCUGUACUUGG
rnacentral:rRNA from 1 species